CCUACGGGUGGCUGCAGUGGGGAAUAUUGGACAAUGGGCGAAAGCCUGAUCCAGCCAUGCCGCGUGUGUGAAGAAGGCCUUCGGGUUGUAAAGCACUUUCAGUGGGGAAGAAAGCCUUGGGGCUAAUACCCUCGAGGAAGGACAUCACCCACAGAAGAAGCACCGGCUAACUCCGUGCCAGCAGCCGCGGUAAUACGGAGGGUGCGAGCGUUAAUCGGAAUUACUGGGCGUAAAGCGCGCGUAGGCGGUCUGAUAAGCCGGUUGUGAAAGCCCCGGGCUCAACCUGGGAACGGCAUCCGGAACUGUCAGGCUAGAGUGCAGGAGAGGAAGGUAGAAUUCCCGGGGUAGCAGUGAAAUGCGUAGAGAUCGGGAGGAAUACCAGUGGCGAAGGCGGCCUUCUGGACUGACACUGACGCUGAGGUGCGAAAGCGUGGGUAGCAAACAGGAUUAGAUACCCCGGUAGUC
rnacentral:rRNA from 1 species